rnacentral:tRNA from 1 species
GUCCCUGUAGUGCAAUGUAUAGCGCGUUGGAAUUCUAAUCCAAAGGUUGUGGGUUCGAAUCCUACCUGGGAUG